CGCGUAGGCGGUGUAGCAAGUCCAAUGUGAAAGCCCACAGCUCAACUGUGGAACUGCAUAGGAAACUGCUACGCUAGAGUAUGGGAGAGGAGAGUGGAAUUCCCAGUGUAGAGGUGAAAUUCGUAGAUAUUGGGAGGAACACCGGUGGCGAAGGCGGCUCUCUGGACCAUUACUGACGCUGAGGCGCGAAAGCUAGGGGAGCAAACG
rnacentral:rRNA from 1 species